UGACAUAUGGAGGGUUUACACCUGUGGAGUGCAGCGAUUUAAUCUACAUGCAAUGUUUGUUUGAUUCCUAUAGGUUAUGGUGCUCCUGCAGCUAUGUCCAAUGGAAAUGGUGCUAAACUCAAUGGUUAAUCUUCCUUUUUUCUUUCAUGCCGAUUUUUGUUGUUGUGCUUAAGCAAGUAGUCUGCAUUAGUACUUUUUCAGAGAUUCAGUAAGUGAUACAACUUUGACUAUUGGUUUUAACCUGUCUGAUCUCUAGGUAAUUAUGGUGCUCCUGCAGCUGUGCCUAAUGGAAAUGGUGCUAAACCCAAUGGUAAAUUACCCACUUAUCUGCACUGUCAUAUCGGAUUUAUUUGUUGAGGUCUGGUACAAUCAUGCAUUUUCUGUAACACUUUGACAUCCCUGUUGAAGGAUAUGGUGCUCCAGCUGCUGUACCCUAUGGUCAAAGGUCAAAAGGCUAUAGAGCUCCAGCUGCUGUACCCAAUGGAAAUGGUCAAAAAUCAAAAGGUAAAUCAUUUUUUCCCCUUGAGUAUCACUUUAGUGUUUUAGUAAUUAUAUUGGUAUUCAGAGGUUCAGUAAGUGGCACAAGUACCAUUUGGUUUAUUUGAAUUAACAUUUGCCUUAUCUCUAGGUUAUGGUGCUCCUGCAGCUGUGCCUAAUGGAAAUGGUGCUAAGGCCAAUGGUAAACCUCCUUGGCUUUGUUUCUGUCCAUAUCAUUCAUGGUGAAUUUGCAGUAUGUAAUAAUUGUUUUGUUGUGACAACUGUGUUAUUUCCAGGUUAUGGUGCCGGUGUGCCUAAUGGCAAUGGACAAGGAGCUAAACACAAUGGUUACGGUGCUGCUCCAGCUGCUGUGCCCAACGGACAAGGAGCUAAGCACACUGGUCAAGGAGCUGGAGCUGGUGCACCCAAUGGACAUGGUGUUCCGAAUCCAAAUGGUGUGUGUGUUGUACUUAUGUGUUGUACUUCAGAGUCUGUACAACUAAAAUUGGCAUAUGGAUGG
rnacentral:lncRNA from 1 species